CAGGUACCGGUUCACGCUCGAAUUGCCAGGAAAACACUCGGGCGACCCGGCGACC
rnacentral:ncRNA from 1 species